UUCAAUUAGGAUUCAAAAAUUUUGUUGAAAAUUUGACAAGAUACAUGAUGAAUAUUUUGAUUUUGACUGACACUCUCGAAGGGAGAAAAAAUCAAAAACCAUAGCUUUGGGGUUCUUCGAAUUCUAAAUAAAUCUCACUAUGAAUGACGAUCAGAUGGUGAAAGUCGUGGACAAGAAGGUCACAAUUGAAGAACUUGUACUUUUUUUCGAAUGAAGAUUGACAAAAAAAAUUUUAGAAUAGUAUUAUGUUUUCGAUACAUUAUUUUGAAAUUAUAGAUUUUCAAUUUUUUUAUUUUUUUCAUUUUUACCUUGAUAGAACAUUACAAUUAAUUAUCAGGUGAAAUUCUGAUACAAUAAAUUGAAAUGUUAAUAUUU